rnacentral:rRNA from 1 species
AACGAACGCUGGCGGCAUGCCUAACACAUGCAAGUCGAACGAUGCUUUCGGGCAUAGUGGCGCACGGGUGCGUAACGCGUGGGAAUCUGCCCUGGGGUUCGGGAUAACAGCGGGAAACUGCUGCUAAUACCGGAUGAUAUCGCGAGAUCAAAGAUUUAUCGCCCUGGGAUGAGCCCGCGUCGGAUUAGGUAGUUGGUGGGGUAAGAGCCUACCAAGCCGACGAUCCGUAGCUGGUCUGUGAGGAUGAUCAGCCACACUGGGACUGAGACACGGCCCAGACUCCUACGGGAGGCAGCAGUGGGGAAUAUUGGACAAUGGGCGCAAGCCUGAUCCAGCAAUGCCGCGUGAGUGAUGAAGGCCUUAGGGUUGUAAAGCUCUUUUACCCGGGAUGAUAAUGACAGUACCGGGAGAAUAAGCCCCGGCUAACUCCGUG